CGUCACGGCCCCGCCCCCGGCCGGCUCCCUCCUUCCUGCGCGCGGCGCCCCGGCCGAGUCCUCACCUGGAGGGACAGGUGUGCUCAUCUCGCAUCUCCGAGAGGCCGGCCUGCGAGUGGCAGUGGAUCACUUUGUGAACUUCCUGGGGUGGCCAACAUCUACUUUGGAGACAGUCACUUUGGUGGUCACCAGAAUCCCCUGGAUGCUUUGGAAGUGGGUGAGUGGAUUCAUGAUGUCCUGAGGAACAAGGGGUACCCUUCAGUGGGGGCCCAGGUAUGUAGCCAGGUUCCCGUUGGCACUGAGGGAGACAAAGCUGAUUGGGCUGCAGUCUAUAAGGCAGGGUGAGGCCCCAGGGUGGGUCUGGAAGGGUAAAUUGGAGUCCUUCAUAACCUUUAUGAACAUUAGAUCAUAUUCACUCUCUUAGCCUCAGGUUCCUACCUGUAAAACAGGUGGGAUGAUCUCUGGCUCAUGAGAUUGUUGUAGAACUAAACCAGAACAGGUGAGAGGUGUCUAUUGUGGUGCCACAUUGUACAAUAAAUGAGAAUUUGCUCAUUCUCUCCCUCUUCUUCCCUUCUGCAUGCAAAAUUCCAAGCUGUUCUGAGCAAAACCAGUGGAUAAAUCCAAUAUUUACCUGCUUGAGAUUAAAGACCCUGCCUGCAUCCCACCUUCCUCAUCAGCUUUCUCCCCACCAAGGAGGGGGAUCCUGGGUGCCCUUUGACCCAUCUCCCCACAGGGCCCCCCCCUUCAAAUGUCUGAGGUUCCUACCAUAGUGUUGGCUGAGGCUGUUCCUUCCCACCCUCCAAAUCUACAUGCAAGCCCCUCCUCCUUCCACCUUCCCCAGGGGCACCUCCCCAGUUUCUCCAUGGAAGGGGCCUAGUGGGCAGUCUGCUUCGAAGGAGCCUCAGAGUCUUAUCUGGAUGCUGUAUCCUUGCAACACUCUGCAUCAAUUAAGAACUCCCCAGCGGUAAAAAAAAAAAAAAAAAAAAAGAAAAAAAAAAAUAACUCCCCAGCGGUGCAUUUCACAGAACACCUGGCUGGAGGGCGAGGGGCAGCUCAUCACUGCUUG
rnacentral:lncRNA from 1 species